rnacentral:sRNA from 1 species
CAUGAACAGGAAACUCAUUCUCGUAGUAGGAAAGCGCGUGGGCAAGGCGGUGUAACCGCCGGGCGAAAUCCUCCCAUGCGCUGCACAGGCUCCCUUCCGGGGGCCUUUUUUAUUUCCGGAA